rnacentral:rRNA from 1 species
ACAAUGGCAGGUACAGAGGGAUGCUACCGGGCGACCGGAUGCGGAUCUCAAAAGCCUGUCCCAGUUCGGACUGGAGUCUGCAACCCGACUCCACGAAGUUGGAUUCGCUAGUAAUCGCGCAUCAGCCAUGGCGCGGUGAAUACGUUCCCGGGCCUUGUACACACCGCCCGUCAAGCCAUGGGAGCCGGGGGCGCCUGAAGUCCGGGACCGCGAGGACCGGCCUAGGGCGAAACUGGUAACUGGGGCUAAGUCGUAACAAGGUAUC